rnacentral:rRNA from 1 species
UACGGAGGAGGCAAGCGUUAUCCGGAAUUAUUGGGCGUAAAGCGUCCGCAGGUGGCACUUCAAGUCUGUCGUCAAAGACUGGGGCUUAACCCCGGAAAGGCGGUGGAAACUGAAGCGCUAGAGUGCGGUAGGGGUAGAGGGAAUUCCCGGUGUAGCGGUGAAAUGCGUAGAGAUCGGGAAGAACAUCGGUGGCGAAAGCGCUCUACUGGACCGCAACUGACACUCAGGGACGAAAGCUAGGGGAGCGAACGGG